rnacentral:ribozyme from 1 species
CCCUGGGGAGUCUAUCUGUCCCGCGCCACCAAGCGACCUCGCUCACGAUCGCCACGCGUCAAUUGCAGUCGCUUUCUCCCUCGCGCGACUAAUGGAAUCAGAAUUAGCCUUUCUUCACCUCGCACCCGCGAGUUGCUUGCUUCUGUGCUAUACGAAGCGAGCGUCUCCGAUUUGAAUUGCUCGUGUUGUUUUCUUUUGUUUUUGGCGAAUGGC